AUUGAACGCUGGCGGCAGGCCUAACACAUGCAAGUCGAGCGAGCGGCGGACGGGUGAGUAAUGUCUGGGAAACUGCCCGAUGGAGGGGGAUAACUACUGGAAACGGUAGCUAAUACCGCAUACCAUCAGAUGUGCCCAGAUGGGAUUAGCUAGUAGGUGGGGUAAUGGCUCACCUAGGCGACGAUCCCUAGCUGGUCUGAGAGGAUGACCAGCCAACAUGGAACUGGGACACGGGCCAGACUCCGUCGGGGGGGAGCAGUGGGGAAUAUUGGACAAUGUGGGGAAACCUGAUCGAGCCAUGCCGGGUGUGUGAAGAAGGGCGUAUGGUUGUAAAGCACUUUUAGCGAGGGGGCGUUACUCGCAGAAUAAGCACCGGCUAACUCUGUGCCAGCCGCCGCGGUAAUAC
rnacentral:rRNA from 1 species